AUAUCAUGAAUUCUAAGUUUUAAGGUUAAGGGUAUUUUAAUAAUUUUCAUUCCCAAAAUUAAAAAAAUAAAAAAAGAAACCCCUAAACCCUUACCCAUCUCUCUCAUUCCUCUCAACCAUUUCUCUUUCAUCUCUUUCACUUCAACCUUUUCUCUGUCAUCCCUACUCUAGCUCCAAUUGAAAAAAAAUCAGAAACACUUGCCUUAUUUUAAUAAUUUUCAUUCUCAAAACUAAAAAAAGAAAACCCCAAACCCUUACUCACCCCUCCUUUAUUCCUCUCAACCCCUUCUCCUUCAUCUCUCUCACUCAAACAUUACAUUUUCUCUCUCACUCAAACAUUUUCUCUGUCAUCUCUGCACUAGCCCCAACUAAAAAACAUUCAUUAUUAAACGAUUUACUUUUGUAAAGAGUUGAGUCAUAUUCACCUUUCGAAAAAAGUUCAUUAAAAACCUCUAUA
rnacentral:lncRNA from 1 species